AAGUACUUCUUGGCGAAGGGGGAACACAUUUGUUGUGUUAUGUUUGUAGAGUAUAGAACUGUUAGUUUAUGCGCUCUCUCACCUUCUAUGUUUAGACGAAUGUUGUAGAGUGUCUCUAUAGGUUUUUAGUGCUUGCGCGCUGCCGCUUAACCCCACCAUAUUGCCUAUGACGUUCCUCUUGCGUCCUCUAAGUCCCCUGCGUGCCUCAAGUACAAAGGACGACUGGUUGACGAAUGCUUAUACGUCUUGAAGUCUUGUUAAGUACGAACUCGUACUUAUUGCUGCUUCUACGGGACAUAACCGGGCAGGUAUGAAGAUAUGUUCGAUGAAGACGACGUUAGCAAGGUUACCCUUCCGGCUUGGCCUGGGCAGGGUUAUGGACGCCAUCGAUUAUCUUCAGGACUCAUAGUCCAAUUUGUAUCUUGUCCGUACUUGGAUGUAUUUGAUCUUCUGUAUGAUUUGGAUCUUUGUAUGUAUCUAUUUGUAUCUUGACUCGUUCGAGUCGUUGUUGUAAUAUAUAUGUUUCUUGUGGGCUCUAUUGUAA